AUAGGAGCUGAAAAGCUAUGCGAGUAUGACGGCAAGCUUUACAAACACGGCGAAUCCAUAACCCAAGACAACUGCUCCUAUCUCUGCACAUGUGAUGCAAACUACCCCACACAUCCUGCCUUCUUCUGUGAGCCGCUGUGCACGCGGUUUGUGGACUCAGUGUGCGAGCAGGGCUUUGUGGAGACGCAUGUGAUGGUAGCGGCAGGUCCCGUCGGUUUUGGGUGCAAGUGUCCAAUGAUAAGUGUAGACCUGCUAGGUUGGCUCUAAGUUUGGUUUUUGACGACAAACCAGAAGCAGACGUACUUGAAAUUGUGCCUCCUCCAGAGAGACAGACAGGUACGGUCUGAUUUCAAUGUUUAUCGCUUAUCUCGUUUGACGACAAACCAGACGUACUUGAAAUUGUGCCUACUCUCCAGAGAGAGACAGGUACGGUCUGAUUUUAACGUUUAUCGCUUAUCUCGUUUGACGACAAACCAGAAGCAGACGUACUUGAAAUUGUGCCUCCUCCAGAGAGAGACAGGUACGGUCUGAUUUCAAUGUUUAUCGCUUAUCUCGUUUGACGACAAACCAGACGUACUUGAAAUUGUGCCUACUCUCCAGAGAGAGACAGGUACGGUCUGAUUUUAACGUUUAUCGCUUAUCUCGUUUAUGCCCUGUUCAGAGUGGGUUGGUCAUGCACAAAGUACCAUAACAGGCCAAUCUGCACCUCCCCUUAGCGGCAGCUGUACCUCGCAAAAGCCCUCGAGGACAUUGCGUGACAGAGAACGCCACGACUCUGGAUUUGGCCACCUUGGUCAACGCGACAUUGCAACCGUUACUUAUUCCGACUACGAUGGUUGGUUUUGUUAUUCUGAACAACCUACGACAUUAUAAAUGUGUUCUACUUAACUAACAAUGUUCCUCCCCUCACCAGGUAUUCUUCUUGACAGGAGUAACAAAGCUAGAAUUAGCCACUAUGAGAAUUAGAAUAAAUAAAAGUAGCGUAUAAAAGUG